UCGAUGGAGAGUUUGAUCCUGGCUCAGGACGAACGCUGGCGGCGUGCCUAACACAUGCAAGUCGAACGAGGUCCAUCCGGUA
rnacentral:rRNA from 1 species